ensembl:misc_RNA Metazoa_SRP Metazoan signal recognition particle RNA
GCCGGGCGCGGUGGCGCACGCCUGUAGUCCCAGCUACUCGGGAGGCUGAGACAGGAGGAUCGCUUGAGUCCAGGAGUUCUGGGCUGUAGUGCGCUAUGCCGAUCGGGUGUCCGCACUAAGUUCGGCAUCAAUAUGGUGACCUCCCGGGAGCGGGGGGCCACCAGGUUGCCUAAGGAGGGGUGAACCGGCCCAGGUCGGAAACGGAGCAGGUCAAAUCCAAAGUUAUGCUAUAAUAUCAAUAAAUCCAGAAUACUUCCUGGGCUAUACCAAAGUACAAGAGGGUUUGACAUAGACAUAAUUGUAAUCGGUACAAAUCUUUCUUU